AACGCUGGCGGCAGGCUUAACACAUGCAAGUCGAGCGGGCGUAGCAAUACGUCAGCGGCAGACGGGUGAGUAACGCGUGGGAACAUACCUUUUGGUUCGGAACAACACAGGGAAACUUGUGCUAAUACCGGAUAAGCCCUUACGGGGAAAGAUUUAUCGCCGAAAGAUUGGCCCGCGUCUGAUUAGCUAGUUGGUGAGGUAAUGGCUCACCAAGGCGACGAUCAGUAGCUGGUCUGAGAGGAUGAUCAGCCACAUUGGGACUGAGACACGGCCCAAACUCCUACGGGAGGCAGCAGUGGGGAAUAUUGGACAAUGGGGGCAACCCUGAUCCAGCCAUGCCGCGUGAGUGAUGAAGGCCCUAGGGUUGUAAAGCUCUUUUGUGCGGGAAGAUAAUGACGGUACCGCAAGAAUAAGCCCCGGCUAACUUCGUGCCAGCAGCCGCGGUAAUACGAAGGGGGCUAGCGUUGCUCGGAAUCACUGGGCGUAAAGGGUGCGUAGGCGGGUCUUUAAGUCAGGGGUGAAAUCCUGGAGCUCAACUCCAGAACUGCCUUUGAUACUGAAGAUCUUGAGUUCGGGAGAGGNGAGUGGAACUGCGAGUGNAGAGGUGAAAUUCGUAGAUAUUCGCAAGAACACCAGUGGCGAAGGCGGCUCACUGGCCCGAUACUGACGCUGA
rnacentral:rRNA from 1 species